rnacentral:rRNA from 1 species
UACGAAGGGGGCUAGCGUUGCUCGGAAUCACUGGGCGUAAAGCGCACGUAGGCGGAUCGUUAAGUCGGAGGUGAAAUCCUGGAGCUCAACUCCAGAACUGCCUUCGAUACUGGCGAUCUUGGAGUCCGGGAGAGGUGAGUGGAACUCCGAGUGUAGAGGUGAAAUUCGUAGAUAUUCGCAAGAACACCAGUGGCGAAGGCGGCUCACUGGCCCGGUACUGACGCUGAGGCACGAAAGCGUGGGGAGCAAACAGG